AGUUCGCAUAUACACGCUUCUCAAAGCCAUCUACGAAAAUCUUAGUUUUCUCUUACAUUUCACGUUAAGAAAGAGCUGUUUUAGUUUCUAUAUAAAUUCUAUUUGUUUUUUUUUAUUUUAUUUUCAAAAAUAAAUGGGAAAUCUUAAAAACAGAAAGAGAAAACGGCCUAGAAUUUCUCCUAAGAAUACGACGAAGAGAUUAAAAGAUGGCGCACCUCGUGAUCUAACAGCCGGUAAAAAAUUGGAUAUUGUUGUGUUUACGGACUAAAUUUUGUCAUAAAAAAGAAAAAUCAGGAACACAUGUCUAUAAUCAAAGCGUUUCUAUAUGAGAAAAGUCAGUAUCAUUCGGAUAAAAAAAAAUUGUAUAAACAUAUUUAAAUCUCUGCUUUAGAUAAUUUGUUGCAAAUAAAUCACUACACUUCUCUUUCAUACAAAGUUUUUAAUGUAUAUGUUUAUUCAGUAGCGUAGCCAGCCCGACUUUGCUCUCGCUAUGCAAAUACUUUUCGCAUUUAAUAAAUACGACGAGUUUUUUUACAAUAAAUGUGUUUAAACAUCUCAUGAUGGAAUCUUCAGUAUAAUAAGAAUAUUACGUAUAUGCAUAAUAAUUUUAUAUAAGAGUAAUAUGAUGCAGUUAUACAAUUAUCAGUAGAUAAUAAAUAUUACAAUGAAAUACUGGUUGGAACUAAUUUAUGAGUGUAUUUACAGGCUGAAUAUAGUGUUAAAACAAAAAACGUGAACGUUGCGAUUACGAUUAGUUUUGUUAAUGUGAAAUCCUUUUAAAAAAACUCGUCGUAUUUAAUAAAUGCACAAUAUCAAUAGUGUUUUUACGCAGUUGCGGCAAAUAUUUUUGUGUUUAUUGACCGUAAGAAAAAUAGAUUAAUAAAAGAAGUACUUCUAGUGUAUUAACUUUUAAUUAGACAAAUUAAAAGUUAAUUUGUGAUUACCAAAUUUAUUAUCGGUAAUGGAACCUAUAUUGCUGUCUCAAAUCUUGUCGACCGAGUCAUAAUUGUCCAAGCGAUGAAUUCGUUCCAAUGUAUCAAGCUGAUCCGCAAUAGACGCCCGCAGUUCGUCGAAACGGCGGAUCAAUUCAAACUAUGCUACCAUGCAGUGAACUGCGUAUUGGAGUUGUCCACGACUACUCAAAUGUCUCGGAAAUAGAUGUAGAUCGUCCAAGUUAGUAAAAUCCUGAAAAAGACUGUUGGUGUUAAUAUUGACUGAGAUUUUGACAUCGUUGACUGUAAAGUACGGUGGCCCAUAAGGGACACGACUUCUUCAUACAAAACGUACGUCCAGUUUCUCCGUAGAAAUCGACCUUCUCCGUAGAAAUAGACCUUCUCCGUAGAA